rnacentral:miRNA from 1 species
CGGGGAGCCAGAAGUCCGUG